rnacentral:rRNA from 1 species
CCUACGGGUGGCAGCAGUGAGGAAUAUUGGUCAAUGUGCGGAAGCCUGAACCAGCCACGUAGCGUGCAGGAUGACGGCCCUACGGGUUGUAAACUGCUUUUAUACGGGAAUAACGCGCCUUCCGUGUAGGGCUUUGCAUGUACCGUAUGAAUCAGGACCGGCUAAUUCAGUGCAAGCAGCCGCGGUAAUACGGAAGGUCCGCGCGUUAUCCGGAUUUAUUGGGUGUACAGGGAGCGUAGGCCGCAUGUCAAGCGUGCUGUGAAAUGUCCGGGCUCAACCCGGGCCUUGCAGCGCGAACUGGCGUGCUUGAGUCCGCGGAAGGCAGGCGGAAGUCGUGGGGUAGCGGUGAAAUGCUGAGAGAUGACGAAGAACCCCGAGUGCGAAGGCAGCUUGCUGCAGCGGAACUGACGCUGAUGCUCGAAAGCGCGGGUAUCGAACAGGAUUAGAUACCCGAGUAGUC